AAGUAUGAGAUGAAGGAGAGGUGGGAAGGAUGGGGUUUGCGGGGAUGUGCGGGUAUAACCACGCCCUAAUUGGACGGAGAUGGGGCGGGUCUCCUACUUGACCCGUGUCACGACCAUCCCUAGACUUAAAGGUUUAGUUAACGGAAAACCUUUGCAUAUCCUUAUUGAUUCAGGAAGUACCCAUAACUUCCUAGAUACUUUUGUUGCCAAGAAAUUUUGUGAGUGAUAUAGAUCCAUAGGCAGUUUAUGUUGUUGAGGGCAAUCAUAUAGCUACUCAUAUUCGUAAGGGUUUUAAAGGAGUUUACUCUGCUAGAAUUUUUAAUUUUUUUUUUUUUUUUACAGUUUUUCAUAACUUGAAAUUUCUAAACUUUUAAUUUUCCCAUAAAUCUUUUAGAAUUUUUUUUGAAAUAAGUUGACUUGAACAAUACCUCGAGCAAUUUGUUUAGUAGAAAGAAUUUGGUAGGAAAUGAAUUGGAAGAAAAGAUUUUAGUUUCCAAUGUUUGGUUUAAAAAUAAUAUUAGAAGUGAUAGAAAUGGAAGGAAAGCCUCACUAGUAGAAUAGUUGCUUAUUUCUGCGGUGGUAUUGCUGCAGUUUUACCCAUAUGCAGCGAUAAAUCACGUGAAAAGAAAACGUAAAAUAUGAAAUAGCCCUAUUGUUGUAGUUUCCAGCCUAAAUCACAGCAAUAGGUCUCAACGGAAAAAAAUUUCCAAUUUGGUUGAUUGUUUGAAAAGAUCUAUGGCUGCGGUUCCCAGCCAAAACCGCAGCAAUAAACUCUAUAAUUAAUAAAAGAACUCGGCUAGGGUGUUUAUAAGGUGAGAGAAAGAUGAGUACGCCUCAUUCGGGAUCUCUCACUCGUUCUUUAGUUCCUUCUCUCUCACUCUCAUUCUUCCUCACGCCUCCUCAUCCUCUCUCUCACUCUCAUUCUUCCUCCCUCUCUCAUUCUCCGGCGCCAUUAAAGCCAAACCUCCCUCCCUCCAUUAAAAUGUCUAUAGAAUUCGAUUCUUUCGCUCUCUCCUCCUCAAGUUUACUCCUCCGUUCCUUUUCGACUUACUCCUUCGUCGUUGCUCUUCGUUCAAAUAGCGCCGAUGCACCGACUCCACAGUUCUGCACGCCACUCGACUCCACAGCACCGUCGCACCACUCGACUCCACCAAUAAGCUGCACCUUCAGCAUCACCUUCAACCUUCGCUGAAAUCGGCGAUUUUUUUCGCGCUCAACCACCGCCAGCACCUUCGCUAACUUCAUACUCGCCUCUCUCAAGCGCCAGUUCUUUGUUACCUUCAAAACCAACGUAUUUGACGAGAUCUGCUGGUUGUGAUAUUAUUAUUGGUGGUGCUCUUAAGUCAGAUGGAAGCUUCAGCGAUCUUGUGCGAUUUUGAGUCUUCAUUUUUUCUUUUUUUUUUUUUUUCUUUCUAGUUAGAUUUUAUUUUUAUUUAUCAAAUCUAAUGGUUAGGUAGUGAUAUUUUAGUUUUAUAGUUUUGUUUUGAAUUAUAUUCAUUUUUUUUUGUAAGAAUCAAUAUGAUGUUAGGCUUUCUGAUUUUUUUUUUCCAGAUUUAUCUUUUGCUUUUUUUAAUAUAUAUGUUGAUUUUUUGCAUCUU